rnacentral:rRNA from 1 species
UACGUAGGGGGCUAGCGUUGUCCGGAAUCAUUGGGCGUAAAGCGCGUGUAGGCGGCCCGGUAAGUCCGCUGUGAAAGUCCAGGGCUCAACCCUGGGAUGCCGGUGGAUACUGUCGGGCUCGAGUCCGGAAGAGGCGAGUGGAAUUCCUGGUGUAGCGGUGAAAUGCGCAGAUAUCAGGAGGAACACCAAUGGCGAAGGCAGCUCGCUGGGACGUGACUGACGCUGAGAAGCGAAAGCAUGGGGAGCGAACAGG